CGGAGUGCGCAAAAGCAUUGAUUUAAGUGAGAAUGUGCUCAAGAAAUGUCUUUAUUUACAUGUCAAGACCUGGGGAUAGAGAGCUGUCCAUUUUCUACACCUUCCCCUUUCCAUUGCAGUUCCCCACAAAACUAAGGUAUGAAGCCAGUCUAUUGGUCCACAUAAUUUUGAUCUGAUCUGAUUUGUGUGAUAGUAUAUUUAUUUAAGUGCAUAGUCUUAAAAUUGCUAGGCGGGACAGCGCUUCCAUGCAGACUUUAAAACAGACAGAUAAUCAAAGAGAAGCACAAAAGCUUCCAGAAGAUGUGGUGCAGGAUUUUUAGACCAUUGAUAUAAAAUUUAGUUUGUUGUACAAACUUUGUUACAAAGUAUAGAAAGCAAGCAAUACCAAAUAGGUAGUUCUUUUUCCUUUUAUUGUGGAGAUCAUGGUUGUAUUCUCAGAGGUUAUCUUUCUCUCCAGUUUAAGCAAUGCAAUGUCAACUUACAUGUGAAGCAAGUGUCUGGGUCUGUAGUUAGCGAUGCCAUUUGUAGUAGAAAACUGCUUCAAAGAAGUAACCUCUUAGGUAAACUGGAUGUGUUGGGGCUUCUCUAACCAGCUGCCUACUAGUUAGCCAAUUAAUAAACUUAAAAUAUGUAGCUCGGCCACAUAUAUUUAAGAAGUUAUCUGUAUCAUAAAAAAUUCUGCAUUGGGGCUUGUCAAUGGUACAGAGAAAUAUUUCUGGGAUAAAGAAGUCUCUCCUGCACCAAAAAGAGGCUUAAUCAAACAUAUUACUAAUAGAAUCUCACUUGAGAGAGAUCCAUUGUUGUUUUGUUGUUGGUUUUGGGUUGUUGUUGGGUUUUUGUUUUUUGUUUUUAAUUUGGAGACAUUAUUGGUUUCCUGCCUAGAACUGGAAAUCCUAGAGUAAUCACUUCCAGUUAGUGAAAAGUCUGGAGAAUGCAUAUUAGAGAAUGAUGCGUUGGUUAAUAGUUUUGUUUUUAAUAUCACUAAAAUUGAACAUUACUGCUCUUAUCAUAUUUUGAAUAGAAAAACUUGAUUAACUCCUGAGUGUAGUCUGGAGUUGUGGUAUAAAACAGUGUGUGACCUAAAACAGCUCUGCCAUUAGCAGGGCAAAGAUAGUUGUUUGCUGGAGGGCCUCUUUAUUAAUUUUGGUUUUUAAGAAACUGAUUUGGGUCAACAUUAGAUUGGGUGUCUAAGCAGCUGGCAUCUGCAAGGUGGCUGGGCUUGCCUGAGCCAGGAGACUGCAGAUAAUGUUCUGCUGACAAGAGCACUUUGUACAGAAGAGUUAUUAAAUGAUGCGCUACAGAAGUUUCUAUUUAGCUAGUGCUGAGGUAAAAAACAAGCAUCUUCCCUUGUGCUGUGUUAGUGCAUUUGGCAAGUUACCUGGUUUGACAGUGGACCACAUGUAGGCCUGAUGCCCAACAAACCAGCUGGCUACGGGGCCUCGGUCUGGCAGAGGUCAUAGCACAGGGCAAUGGUGGGCUGGAGGGAACAAGAAGAGAUUGCAGUGAUGUUAGUGAGGUCGAGCUCUGGCUUACAUGAGUGAUAAUUUGUGUAAUUCUAGUUUCAUGGCACUCUUUGCUGGUGGCUUGUUGGCUUUCCCAAAGAAAAGGGACUGUCUUUGGAACAAGACUGGGGACUCAGAAUAUUCCUUCAGAUGUUGAAUUCUUUUCCCAUAUAAGAAUGUAUGCAUUUUGUAUAUUUUUAAAGUUUCUAUGUUUUUAAGAAUCAAUAUAUCACCUGCAACAUAAAUUAAAAUCAUUUUAAAUUCAAAAUAUAUACUUUAAAAGUUACUAUGGUUCUACUGAGGAGCUAAGGAAGAUAUUGUAAUUCAAAUCGCUUGAAUACAUUGUAUCUUUGGGGAGUUUUAGAACUGUAAUUGACUAGAAAUUAAUGUCAGUAUUUAAAACCUUACGUUUUUAUUGCAAGUUGACUGCCUAAUAGGUCUGCGUAUUUUUUUCUUAGAUUAUGUUGAAAAGAGACUUUAGAAAAAUGCAUGCAAAAAAAAAAAGACAGAAGGGUUUACCAAAUUCUUUGUGUCUGCUCCCAGGUUGUUGAUUUUUUUGUGGCAGAAUGGCAAAACUAGCAGCAUCGUUUACUAAAAUUGAACCAGCACACCUGAAUAAGUCAAAAUGAAAAGAAUCCACACAUAGAUUUGUGUGGUACACGUUACUUGUACAGUUUAAUCAUACUGGGGGUUUAUUAAAUUUAUAACCUGACAGCCUGAUUCAAGUAAUUAUAAAAGCACAUUCUUAAUUUCGUUAUUUCAAACAAAAAAAGUUGAUUUGUGUAAUGAUCAUUAAGGCAUCAUGGUUCAGUAACUGUGCAUUGGUUACAAUGUUUUCAUGUGGGAGCCAGGAAUGAGCUUUUUUUCUUGAUAGUGACAGAUGCUGAAAUCUAAUUUUAUUCCAUAAAAACAGACAAACAAACAAAC